GUGCUACCUUUGGCAGCACAUAUACUAAAAUUGGAGCGAUACAGAGAUUAAUUAGCAUGGCCCCUGUGCAAGGAUGACAUACAAAUUUCUGAAGCAUUUUAUAUUUUU